AAAAUUCUGUGACUGAUCAGGAAAGGAAUCAUACAGAACUCCCAAGUUGGUCCCAGUUCAGAUCACGAUCACGGCCAUCAACACAAAAAAGUAAGGUGACAGCUGAUACAACCCAUUCUGAAGUCAUCCCAGAGCAAGCUUCUUGUUUUUCGCAGUUCAAACCACAAUCACAUUCACAAAAAAGAACGAAAAGUAAGAUAACAGCUAAUACAACAGAUUCUGAAGUUAUUACACAGCAAGCGUCUUGUUUUUUGCAGUCCAAACCACGACCACAUCCACGAAAAAGAAAGAAAAAUAAGAUAACAGCUAAUACAACGGAUUCUGAAGCUAUCCAACAGCAAGCUUCUUGUUGUUCGCAGAUCA
rnacentral:misc_RNA from 1 species